rnacentral:rRNA from 1 species
GUCCACGCCGUAAACGAUGUCUACUAGCCGUUGGGUCCUUGAGGCCUUAGUGGCGCAGCUAACGCACUAAGUAGACCGCCUGGGGAGUACGGUCGCAAGAUUAAAACUCAAAUGAAUUGACGGGGGCCCGCACAAGCGGUGGAGCAUGUGGUUUAAUUCGACGCAACGCGAAGAACCUUACCAGGUCUUGACAUCUAGAGAAUUUGCCAGAGAUGGCUUAGUGCCUUCGGGAGCUCUAAGACAGGUGCUGCAUGGCUGUCGU